UACGUAGGGGGCAAGCGUUGUCGGGAAUUAUUGGGCGUAAAGCGCGCGCAGGCGGUCUCUUAAGUCUGAUGUGAAAGCACACGGCUCAACCGUGGAGGGUCAUUGGAAACUGGGAGACUGGAGUAUAGGAGAGGAAAGUGGAAUUCCACGUGUAGCGGUGAAAUGCGUAGAGAUGUGGAGGAACACCAGUGGCGAAUGCGACUUUCUGGCCUAUUACUGACGCUGAGGCGCGAAAGCGUGGGGGGCGAACAGG
rnacentral:rRNA from 1 species